UGCAAUGAUGAGAAUCCUGAUGUCAGACAGGCUGCUGUGUAUGGGCUUGGUGUCUGUGCAGAGUUUGGUGGAUCCGUGUUUAAACCACUUGUUGGAGAGGCUCUGUCAAGGUUAAAUGUUGUAUUGCGACAUCCUAAUGCUCUACAACCUGAAAAUGUAAUGGCAUAUGACAAUGCUGUUUCGGCUUUGGGGAAGAUUUGUCAAUUUCAUCGUG
rnacentral:misc_RNA from 1 species